AUGCCAUCGAGGUCACGGCGACGGUUGGUAGACCUGGAGCCAGGUCCAAUCCCCAGGGUGGAGGGUGGAGGGCAGGGUGACCCCAGGCCCACCAGGCCCCAGGAGCAGCGUACCCAGGCCAGGGGGAGAGAGGGGAGCAGGCUGGAGCGUGCUGCCCAGCUGGAGGGUGCCCGGGGCGGGGAGCAUGAAGACAAUGUGUCCCGCCUCCGGAGCUCUUCCCUGGAGAUCAGAGAGAAGGGAUCAGAGAUCCUCAGAGAGCAGCUAGAUGCUGCACAGAAGGUGUCUGAGGCCCAUCUUGUUAUUCAGUACACCUCUUCUAUUCUGACCCAGUACUACACUACACCUCUUCUAUUCUGACCCAGUACUACACCUCUUCUAUUCUGACCCAGUUCUACCCUGCACCUCUUCUAUUCUGACCCAGUACUACCCUACAACUCUUCUAUUCUGACCCAGUACUACACUACACCUCUUCUAUUCUGACCCAGUUCUCCUCUACAGCUAUUCUAUUCUGACCCAGUUCUACCCUACAACUCUUCUAUUCUGACCAGUUCUACUCUACAGCUCUUCUAUUCUGACCAGUUCUACUCUACAGCGCUUCUAUUCUGACCCAGUUCUACCCUGCACCUCUUCUAUUCUGACCCAGUUCUACCCUACA
rnacentral:lncRNA from 13 species